UACGGAGGAUCCAAGCGUUAUCCGGAUUUAUUGGGUUUAAAGGGUGCGUAGGUGGCUUAUUAAGUCAGGGGUGAAAGACGGUAGCUUAACUAUCGCAGUGCCUUUGAUACUGAUGAGCUUGAAUACAGAUGAAGUGGGCGGAAUGUGACAAGUAGCGGUGAAAUGCAUAGAUAUGUCACAGAACACCAAUUGCGAAGGCAGCUUACUAUGGUGUCAUUGACGCUGAGGCACGAAAGCGUGGGGAUCAAACAGG
rnacentral:rRNA from 1 species